rnacentral:rRNA from 1 species
UUUAGCAGCUGGGAUAGCACGUUGAAUGCACCAUUUCCUCACGGAUUACUGAAGUUAAGCAAUGUUCCGCUUGGUUAAUACCUGGAUAGGUGACCAUCUGGGGAAUCGCGUGCUGCUGGGU